CGGCGUGCCUAACACAUGCAAGUCGUACGAGAAAGGGUCCUUCGGGACCUGAGUAAAGUGGCGCACGGGUGAGUAGCGCGUGGAUAAUCUACCCUUCAGUUGGGAACAACUCAUCGAAAGGUGGGCUAAUACCGAAUAAUACUGCUCGACCUUGGUCGAGCAGCCAAAGAGAGCCUCUGCUUGCAAGCCCUCGCUGAAGGAUGAGUUCGCGUACCAUUAGCUUGUUGGUAGGGUAAUGGCCUACCAAGGCGACGAUGGUUAGCUGGUCUGAGAGGAUGAUCAGCCACACUGGAACUGAGACACGGUCCAGACUCCUACGGGAGGCAGCAGUGAGGAAUAUUGCGCAAUGGGGGCAACCCUGACGCAGCAACGCCGCGUGAGUGAGGAAGGUUUUCGGACCGUAAAGCUCUGUCGAGCGGGAAGAAAUGUAUCAUGGCUAAUAUCCAUGAUACUUGACGGUACCGCUAAAGGAAGCACCGGCUAACUCCGUG
rnacentral:rRNA from 1 species